rnacentral:lncRNA from 1 species
CCUACUGAAUAGAAAUUGAAACCAAACAAAAUAAAACAAGCAAAUUCUCCUCCAAGUGUGAGCACCACAGAUGAACUUUUUUCUUGUGAUCUUCCAUUUUGCAGGAUGUUGCCACCGACACUGAAGUCUGUCAACUGACUAUCGUUUGGAGUCAGCUGAACGGCUUAUACCACAUACAGGGGAAAAGCAUAAAUGUGUGUUUGACUUCCAUGAAAUUAAUGAUAGAUGAGCUACUAAAGAGAGAGCAAGAAGAAAAGCGAGAGCUGAGAAAAUAAUAAUUUAAAUAUUAUGAGCAAGUCUCUUUACUGCUCACGUGACCUACAAUAGUGUUGUCCAGGAGGAAGAAAAUGAAUCCCUGGAGUGUGUACUACACCCGUCUUUAUCAUCUCAAAUCUCAUCUCACAGACAGUGAACUCAUCUUUGUUGUCAGCAUCAGUCAUCAUGGUGGUCAGCGUUGUUACUAUCAGAGCUGGGCAAGAAUACCCAGGAUGCAUGGUUAACAAGUAAGAGUACAAUUUUUAAAGAUUGCAUCCCACUCCGAGAGUUUGGACAGAUCACUUGAAUAUAUUGGGCUCCAAGUAGAGAUAUCCCCUUCCCCCAAGAGAGGCACAGAAAGUGUAAACUCUUUCUUGUGAUCAGGCCAAUUGCCAAAUGUUUGUGAGGGUAGGAAACCCAAGUCAUCCAACAAUCAAGCAGAGAGUCAAUUGUAAUAGAUACAGUGAAAUAUGAUAUGUUAUAAUUAUGACAAGAGGCACUGCAAGAUCCCAACCUACGUGAAUUAUCAGUCUUGCUACUUACCAGAGCACUAAUAAUACACACAUAUUAAUAUAGUUCUUGUUCCAGGGACAUGGUAGAUUGAGCUAACUAAUGCGUAAUGUUCUCUUAAUGCAGUUAUAUAGAAAUGCUGAAUGAAGUAGAAUUCAAAACUUUUAUAUCACAGCAGAGCCCAGAAAAGAAAAAAUGCCACAUGCCAGGAAUGAAGAGUGAACCCCGUCAGACCUGUGCAUAGCUGAUUGACUGCUUUCCUAAGAGCCUUGAUGCAGAGACCCAGGCUCUCUGUGCCUUACAGUUCUAUCAUCUUUACCAUGUAAUCUUCAAAGUCACUGUGCUUAUUUUCAUUAAGCUGAUGAAGGAUAAGAGCACAGAAGAUGGCUUGUUGGAAAGUUUUAUGGAUCAGACCUACAAACAGCCUAUAGUACUUCCGUUAAACUUCUGGUGAACUUUCUUCACAGUGGCUGGGAAUGUAGGCUAGAUUGUACCAGGAGGAGGAGGAGGAGGAGGAACUUUGUUCGGAGAUUAUCGUAUUGUAUAAUGCAAUACAAGAACCUUAUAAUGUAAUGUUAUUGUAAGCUAAGUAACCUUACCUUCUAACAUUCUGGAUAAAUAUAAGUUGGAAAAAAAGGCACAAACUCUGAGUCUCAGUUGCUUACAUUUUGAUGAAGAACAGAUUGAGAAACUUUUAAAUAAAAUAAUAGCUGAAAGUCUUUGUCUCUAGGUACAUUCUCUUUUUACAUUAUGCUCAUAGCUGUAAUGGAUUCCAUCUCUUCCAACAGUUGAAGCUUGAUACCCAAUUGCAUAGCAAAGGAGGAUGCUUUACUUUUCCGUUAAUGGCUAAUAAGUAUAUUUCUGGAUUCAGGAAAACAUGUUUUCCUUUCGCUACUCAAAAUUGGUGUGUAUUUGUUGCCUUCCUUAGAAAGCUAUGAGUGCAUAUAAUACAGGAGGUUGAAAUAUCUGCAUGUUUUAGAGAUAACUGAGUUCAAGUGCCAAGGCCAAAUUAUAGAUGUAUUCAAUCAGAUGAAAACAUUAGUUUUUGUAUUUCUGAGCAUAUUUGCUUUGUAGUCAUUCAAGUAAGGGAAAAGGAAAUGGCAACCCACUCCAGUAUUCUUGCCUGGAGAAUCCCAGGGCCGGGGGAGCCUGGUGGGCUGCCGUCUAUGGGGUCGCACAGAGUUGGACACGAGUGAAAUGACUUAGCAGCAGCAGCAGCAGUAUUCAGAUAAGAAUUUAGUUUUGCACAUAGCUUGAUUUCUUUGUUUGCUCUCACAGCCAAACCCGACUCCACUUACUAGUCUCUGCUGCAGCUUGCUGUAAGUGGCUACCUGUGUAGUAUUACAGGUAUUCCAAGUACAGCUUGGUGGAAUCCGUAAGAGGAUGGGUAAGUAUUGUCUUUGGCCUGCCACAGGCAGGUGGUUUAAGAGCUAGCGCAUUUCAGUCCUCUUUAAUUGUGCCUAGAUUUGUUAUUAGAGUGGGACAAAGCCUAGGAAACUAGAAAUCAUAUUGGAAAGGUUUGAGAUACCGAGGUAAAGCUGGGGGAGGGGUCAGCAUCUUACAAGUGUUAGUGAUAUACAUGGUCUGAAUCUUCGUACUCUUCUCUUUGUACAUUGGGAGUAAAGCCAUUAGGUGGGGCUGCAGGGUGGCUCAGAUCUGAGAGCAAACACUGACCCCUCGUUCUGCACUCUUGGCUCUCACUCAACCAUCUGAGGAGACUUUGGGAUCCCAGGCAAGGGAACGUCUCAGAGUCUUUCAUGAUUCCAUUCCUGUCUUUGUCAGAAACUUCACAGAGGAUUUUUCUCAAGACCACAGCUGCAGAGGGGUUGUUUCAGGUCAGUGAGAAAGAGGGAUCCACUCCUUGGAGUGAGACUAAAUAAAACUGUAAAGUCAAAAAGGUUGCAGUUUUCACAGCAAUCGCUGAGAAUACUCAGGGCAUACAGGGCCACUGAACCACUGUCAGCAACAUGCGGUGUGGACCUGACCUGGGAUUCCCUUACAGCUGGAGCAAAGAGCAAAAGACCAUGAAGAGCUGUCCUUUCUGACAUCUACAAGUGGGUGUCUGUGAUUCUUCCCUUUGUUUCUAUUUAAAUUUUCAUCAUUUGGCCUUUAUGAAUGGACAGAUGACUCUGAUCCUUGCUUUUAACUUUUUCUGGAGGAACGGGUGAAUAGAUUGCACGUCUUUUCUGCUAAACCUUGAGACAGGUUUAAAACUAACCUUGUGAGAAGAGAACUAGCAGAGCCCUCAGCCAGUGUGAAUCCUCCACUUGGCAUCUGGCCUGGAAACUUCUCUCAACCACACUCUCAGUGCUGUCAAUCCGCAGGCCUUUCCUCCUGAGUUCCGCC